AUUGCGCAAUGGGCGAAAGCCUGACGCAGCGACGCCGCGUGAGGGAUGAAGGUUCUCGGAUCGUAAACCUCUGUCAGGGGGGAAGAAACCCCCUCGUGUGAAUAAUGCGAGGGCUUGACGGUACCCCCAAACGGAAGCACCGGCUAACUCCGUCGCC
rnacentral:rRNA from 1 species